AGUGAGGGUCGGGAGCUGCUGGACACACCUCCCAUUCAUUGUGUGUUUGAGUUAAUUUCUGAUCAUUGCACAGCUGGCCUUUGUGACACCCCCCACCACAGUCAGUCAUGCCCCCAAUAUGGAGUCAACACCCACAAUUCAAGAAGCCAGACCCUUCAGGGUCAGGAUGGAUGUAGUCAAUGCUGCCAGCGCCGGCAGCAGAGGCAGGCAAGGAACAUUCAGAUAGAUGCCUUCUUUCCAUCCCCCAGUCUCCCACCAUUCCCUCCUGAGGCUAAAGCAGCCAGGGCUGACUGCACAGAACGCCGCUGGGCAGCCCAACCUGCCAGGAGCCUCCUCCAUCCGAUACAAAGUAUUGAAGUGAGUUCACCACCAACAAGGAGUCUUUUUCCUUCUGUAACUCGCCAAUACCAUUUCUUCUAAAUGGAACAACGAAGGAAACGAGAUAAGGAAAAUCAAGAAGUGAAGAAACCAGCUGAGUGGAAAGCGAAUGAGCAGACAUUAGCAGUUCCACAGAUGGGCUCGCACCUCCAGCUGCCUGGGAAUUGACGGGGCAAGAUCAACACUUCUUAAACCUCUGGGAUUGUUCGGGUGGUUCUGUGGAGAGUCUAUCGGAAGCCCUGGGACAGGAAAACUGAUGUGUGAGCUCCCAAAGACAAUCUCAUACCAGAAGAACUCUGAGGCAGCCCAGAUCACGCCUGGGCCUGAGCGGCAUCCUGUAUACUCCAAAACAGUCCCUUAAGGCCUCUUCGCCCUUCUCCUCCCUGCUGUGCUAACCCUCUUCCCAAAUGGGAGACUGUUACCCUUCUCUUGUACUGUAGUUUAAACUGUAAAUGUUCACAAA